UACGUAGGGGGCGAGCGUUAUCCGGAAUUACUGGGUGUAAAGGGAGCGUAGACGGCGAGGUAAGCCUGAAGUGGAAGCCCGCGGCCCAACCGCGGAACUGCUUUGGGAACUGUUUUGCUGGAGUAUGGGAGGGGUAAGCGGAAUUCCUGGUGUAGCGGUGAAAUGCGUAGAUAUCAGGAGGAACACCGGUGGCGAAGGCGGCUUACUGGACCAUAACUGACGUUGAGGCUCGAAAGCGUGGGGAGCAAACAGG
rnacentral:rRNA from 1 species